GACGAACGCUGGCGGCGUGCUUAACACAUGCAAGUCGAACGGAAAGGCCCUGCUUGUGUGGGGUGCUCGAGUGGCGAACGGGUGAGUAACACGUGAGUAACCUGCCCUUGACUUUGGGAUAACUUCAGGAAACUGGGGCUAAUACCGGAUAGGAGCUCCUGCUGCAUGGUGGGGGUGGGAAAGUUUCGGCGGUUGGGGAUGGACUCGCGGCUUAUCAGCUUGUUGGUGGGGUAGUGGCUUACCAAGGCUUUGACGGGUAGCCGGCCUGAGAGGGUGACCGGCCACAUUGGGACUGAGAUACGGCCCAGACUCCUACGGGAGGCAGCGGUGGGGAAUAUUGCCCAAUGGGCGGAAGCCUGAUGCAGCAACGCCGCGUGCGGGAUGACGGCCUUCGGGCUGUAAACCGCUUUCGCCUGUGACGAAGCGUGAGUGACGGUAAUGGGUAAAGAAGCACCGGCUAACUACGUG
rnacentral:rRNA from 1 species